rnacentral:rRNA from 1 species
ACGGAGGGCGCAAGCGUUGUUCGGAAUUACUGGGCGUAAAGCGCGGGCAGGCGGUCUGUUAAGUCGUUUGUGAAAACCCGGGGCUCAACCCCGGGAAUGCAUACGAUACUGGCAGGCUGGAGACUGGUAGAGGCUAGCGGAAUUCCUGGUGUAGCGGUGGAAUGCGUAGAUAUCAGGAAGAACACCUGUGGCGAAGGCGGCUAGCUGGGCCAGUUCUGACGCUCAUCCGCGAAAGCGUGGGGAGCAAACAGGA